rnacentral:rRNA from 1 species
CCUACGGGAGGCAGCAGUGGGGGAUAUUGCACAAUGGGGGGAACCCUGAUGCAGCGACGCCGCGUGGGUGAAGAAGCGCCUCGGCGCGUAAAGCCCUGUCAGCAGGGAAGAAAAUGACGGUACCUGAGGAAUAAGCGCCGGGUAACUACGUGCCAGCAGCCGCGGUAAUACGUAGGGGGGAAGCGUUAUCCGGAUUUAUUGGGGGUAAAGGGGGCGCAGACGGGGAUGCAAGCUAGGAGUGAAAGCCCGGGGGCCAACCCCGGGACUGCUGUUGGAACGGCGUUGCUGGAGUGCAGGAGGGGCAGGCGGAAUGCCUGGUGUAGCGGUGAAAUGCGUAGAUAUCAGGAGGAACACCGGUGGCGAAGGCGGCCUGCUGGACUGCAACUGACGUUGAGGCCCGAAAGCGUGGGGAGCAAACAGGAUUAGAUACCCCGGUAGUC